rnacentral:rRNA from 1 species
CAGCCGCCGCGGUAAUACGUAGGGUGCGAGCGUUAAUCGGAAUUACUGGGCGUAAAGCGUGCGCAGGCGGUUGUGUAAGACAGGUGUGAAAUCCCCGGGCUUAACCUGGGAACUGCGCUUGUGACUGCACAGCUAGAGUAUGGCAGAGGGGGGUGGAAUUCCACGUGUAGCAGUGGAAUGCGUAGAGAUGUGGAGGAACACCGAUGGCGAAGGCAGCCCCCUGGGCCAAUACUGACGCUCAUGCACGAAAGCGUGGGGAGCAAACAGGAUUAGAUACCCCUGUAGUCCCUGUCUCUUAUAC